UGCAAAUAUUGGCUGCCGCUGAGAUAUUCCUGCAACAACCCUGGACAGUGCGCUGAGAAAUGCCCAGCCCUUGCAUGGUGAAUACUCUCAAAUGCUGAUGGAUCUUUAAGUCACACAAAACCGGUCCUCAAGCCCACAAAUGCUGCCCAGCCACGGUGAUGGUGACGGAGCUGUGCCAAUGCCUCUGUCCCCAGAGAUGCCAAUGAAAUCACGCAGGCCUGAGCCCGGCUUCAAGAAGAAGCUUGCCUCUGGCCAGGGUGGCUGAUGGAAACCAGAGCCUGGCUACUACAAGAUACUGAAUAUAGUUCCCUGUGCACUACCGAAGAAACUUGUUGUUUAUCUAUUUUAUAUAUAGUAGUGUGUAUCUGUAAAUCUCGAACUCCCAAUUUAUCCCUUCCUACCCCCUUUCACCCCUGGCUUGGAACCUCCCCUUUUUUCUUCUGAUUUUAAAAAACAUUAAAAUUAAAACUUAUUCCUGGGCCCUGGGCACU